rnacentral:rRNA from 1 species
AGAAAUCUCACCAGGCCCGGACACUGGAAGGAUUGACAGAUUGAUAGCUCUUCCUUGAUUCGGUGGGUGGUGGAGCAUGGCCGUUCUUAGUUGGUUGAGUGAUUUGUCUUGUUAAUUCCGAUAACGAACGAGACUCUGUCCUGCUAAAUAGUGACGCGGUUCAUCGAACCGUGGGCCACUUCUUAGAGGGACUAUCGGAUUCAAACCGAUGGAAGUGUGAGGCAAUAA